UAAGACAGAGGGUGCGAACGUUGUUCGGAAUUACUGGGCGUAAAGCGCGUGUAGGCGGCAGCGCAAGUCGGGCGUGAAAUCCCACGGCUCAACCGUGGAAGUGCACUCGAAACUGCGCAGCUAGAGUCCUGGAGAGGAAGGUGGAAUGCUUGGUGUAGAGGUGAAAUUCGUAGAUAUCAAGCGGAACACCGGCGGCGAAGGCGGCCUUCUGGUCAGUGACUGACGCUGAGACGCGAAAGCGUGGGGAGCAAACAG
rnacentral:rRNA from 1 species